UGCUUCUCACCGGCGACGAGUGGCGAACGGGUGAGUAAUACAUCGGAACGUGUCCGCUCGUGGGGGACAACCAGCCGAAAGGUUGGCUAAUACCGCAUGAGUUCUACGGAAGAAAGAGGGGGACCCGCAAGGGCCUCUCGCGAGCGGAGCGGCCGAUGACUGAUUAGCCGGUUGGUGAGGUAACGGCUCACCAAAGCAACGAUCAGUAGCUGGUCUGAGAGGACGACCAGCCACACUGGGACUGAGACACGGCCCAGACUCCUACGGGAGGCAGCAGUGGGGAAUUUUGGACAAUGGGCGCAAGCCUGAUCCAGCUAUUCCGCGUGUGGGAUGAAGGCCCUCGGGUUGUAAACCACUUUUGUAGAGAACGAAAAGACACCUUCGAAUAAAGGGUGUUGCUGACGGUACUCUAAGAAUAAGCACCGGCUAACUACGUGCCAGCAGCCGCGGUAAUACGUAGGGUGCGAGCGUUAAUCGGAAUUACUGGGCGUAAAGGGUGCGCAGGCGGUUGAGUAAGACAGAUGUGAAAUCCCCGAGCUUAACUCGGGAAUGGCAUAUGUGACUGCUCGACUAGAG
rnacentral:rRNA from 1 species